rnacentral:rRNA from 1 species
UGGUGACUAUAGCAAGGAGGUCACACCUGUUCCCAUGCCGAACACAGAAGUUAAGCUCCUUAGCGUCGAUGGUAGUCGAACUAAAAUGGAUGCGAUGAGCC